AACAUAUUCAGCCAAACCAUCUCCACUCAUUAAAUUAAAACAUUUUCUUACCUAGCUUAGUAUAGGUGAUAGAAAGGCACACUCAAGACGCAAUAGAGAUAACGUACCGUAAGGGAAAAAUGAAAUAAUAAUGAAAAACCAAGCACUAAAUAGCAAAGAUCAACCCUUGUACCUUUUGCAUCAUGAUUUAGCAAGAACUACCCGAGCAAAACGCUAAUUUAAGUUUGCCGCCCCGAAACCUAAGCGAGCUACUUACAAGCAGCUAUUUACUGAGCUAACCCAUCUCUGUUGCAAAAGAGUGGGAUGACUUGUUAGUAGAGGUGAAAAGCCUACCGAGCUGGGUGAUAGCUGGUUGCCUACGAAAUGAAUCUAAGUUCUCUCUUAACUCACCCCCAUGGACUUAACCUAGCCCCUAAGGAUAGGGAAUUAAGGGUAAUUUAAAGGAGGUACAGCUCCUUUAAAAAAGAAUACACUCUCUUCAAGCGGAUAAACCAAAUCUCAUCCCUGCCUGUGGGCCUUCAAGCAGCCACCAUUAAAGAGUGCGUCAAAGCUCCUUAUCUAAAAAAUUAAAAAUUUUUAUGACUCCCUCUCCCUUAGUAGGCCAACUUAUAUUAAAUAAGAGGAUUAAUGCUAAAAUAAGUAACUAUGGGAUUUCCCCCUCUGCGGCGCAAGUUUACAUUACAACAUUAUUAACAAAUCUUAAAAUACCCUCUAACACUAACAAGAUUAAGUAUUAUAAACUUUGUUAACCCACCCAUGGAGCGCCUCCUAAAGAGCGAUUAAAAUCUGUAAAAGGAACUAGGCAAAUUCAAGGCCCGACUGUUUACCAAAAACAUAGCCUUCAGCAAGCCAAGUAUUGAAGGUGAAGCCUGCCCAGUGACAAUAUGUUUAACGACUGCAGUAUCCUAACCGUGCAAAGGUAGCGCAAUCAAUUGUCCCAUAAAUCGGGACCUGUAUGAAUGGCUUAACGAGGUCUUAACUGUCUCCUACAGAUAAUCAGUGAAAUUGAUCUCCCUGUGCAAAAGUAGGAAUAACCUCAUAAGACAAGAAGACCCUGUGGAACUUUAAAAUCCGCAACCACUCCCAUAAACAACCUCCCUCUACAAGAUAUACUCCCCUGGGAUAUAACUGGUUCGCAUUUUUUGGUUGGGGCGACCUUGGAGAUAAGCCUAACCUCCAAAAACUAGAUCACUCAUCUUGACUAAGAGCAACCUAUCAACCUACUAAUAGUAACCAGACCCAAUAUAAUUGAUUAAUGAACCUAGCUACCCCAGGGAUAACAGCGCAAUCUCCUUCAAGAGCCCCCAUCGACAAGGAGGUUUACGACCUCGAUGUUGGAUCAGGACCUCCUGGUGGUGCAGCCGCUACCAAGGGUUCGUUUGUUCAACGAUUAACAGUCCUACGUGAUCUGAGUUCAGACCGGAGUAAUCCAGGUCGGUUUCUAUCUAUGAUAUAACUCCUUCCAGUACGAAAGGACCGAAGAAGUAAGGCCCCUACCACAAGCACGCCUUCGCUCCCAAUAAUGAACUCAACUAAAUUAUCAAGAGCUCCCCUAUAUCCCAUCUUCCUAGAAAAGGAUCGCUAGCGUGGCAGAGCUUGGUAAAUGCAGAAGGCUUAAGCCCUUUAUCCAGAGGUUCAAAUCCUCUCCCUAGCUUCAUUCUCAUAUACAUGAUUACUCACCCCGCUCUAACCCACCUCAUCAUAUCACUAUCCUAUGCCCUAUCUAUCCUCAUUGCCGUAGCAUUUCUUACCCUUGUCGAACGUAAAGUCUUAAGUUACAUACAAGCCCGCAAAGGUCCUAACAUUGUGGGACCAUUUGGUCUCCUACAACCCUUGGCAGAUGGUGUAAAAUUAUUUAUCAAAGAGCCUAUCCGUCCCUCUACCUCAUCCCAUUACCUAUUUAUAACUACUCCUAUUCUAGCCCUCCUCUUGGCAAUCACAAUCUGAACCCCACUUCCACUUCCCCACCCCCUAACUGACCUAAACCUUAGUAUGCUUUUCCUAUUAGCUUUGUCCAGCCUAGCAGUCUAUUCUAUCUUAUGAUCAGGAUGAGCCUCGAAUUCAAAAUACGCUCUAAUUGGUGCCUUACGAGCAGUUGCACAAACCAUUUCCUAUGAAGUUACCCUAGCUAUUAUUCUUAUGUCCGUAAUUAUCUUAAGUGGUAACUACACUCUUAGUACUCUUGCUACAACCCAAGAACCCCUCUAUCUUAUUUUCUCCUCCUGACCCCUUACAAUAAUAUGAUACAUCUCCACACUCGCUGAAACAAACCGUGCUCCAUUUGAUCUAACAGAGGGAGAAUCUGAGUUAGUUUCAGGAUUUAACGUAGAAUAUGCUGCAGGUCCAUUUGCCCUAUUUUUCUUAGCUGAAUAUGCUAACAUCAUGCUAAUAAACACACUCACAACUAUUCUAUUCUUAAACCCUAGUUCACUUAACCUCCCCCAAGAACUCACCCCCUUAACCUUUGCCACAAAAAACCCUCCUCCUUUCCGCAGGUUUCCUAUGAAUUCGUGCAUCCUACCCUCGAUUUCGUUAUGACCAGCUAAUGCACCUGCUUUGAAAAAAUUUUCUACCUCUAACACUAGCCCUAUGCCUAUGACACACUAGCCUUCCUAUUUCCUAUGCAGGCCUACCCCCCUACCUAAGACA